rnacentral:rRNA from 1 species
UACAGAGGGGGCAAGCGUUAUUCGGAAUUAUUGGGCGUAAAGGGCGCGUAGGCGGCUUGGCAAGUGGAUGGUGAAAUCCCUCGGCUUAACCGAGGAACUGCCGUCCAAACUGCUUUGCUUGAGACCGGGAGAGGUGAGUGGAAUUCCCAGUGUAGCGGUGAAAUGCGCAGAUAUCAGGAAGAACACCCGUGGCUAAGGCGGCUCUCUAGUACGGUACUGACGCUGAGACGCGAAAGCGUGGGGAGCGAACAGG